rnacentral:rRNA from 1 species
UACAGAGGUCUCAAGCGUUGUUCGGAUUCAUUGGGCGUAAAGGGUGUGUAGGUGGCGCGCUAAGUCGGGUGUGAAAUUUCGGAGCUUAACUCCGAAACUGCAUUCGAUACUGGCGUGCUUGAGGACUGGAGAGGAGACUGGAAUUCAUGGUGUAGCAGUGAAAUGCGUAGAGAUCAUGAGGAAGACCAGUGGCGAAGGCGGGUCUCUGGACAGUUCCUGACACUGGAGACACGAAGGCCAGGGGAGCAAACGGG